UUACGGGAGGCAGCAGUAGGGAAUUUUGGACAAUGGGGGCAACCCUGAUCCAGCCAUUCCGCGUGAGUGAAGAAGGCCUUCGGGUUGUAAAGCUCUUUUGUCCGGAACGAAACGGGUAAGGCUAAUACCUUUGCCUACUGACGGUACCGGAAGAAUAAGCACCGGCUAACUACGUGCCAGCAGCCGCGGUAAUACGUAGGGUGCGAGCGUUAAUCGGAAUUACUGGGCGUAAAGCGUGCGCAGGCGGUUUUGUAAGCCAGAUGUGAAAUCCCCGGGCUUAACCUGGAAUGGCAUUUGGGACUGCAAGGCUGGAGUGCGGCAGAGGAGACUGGAAUUCCUGGUGUAGCAGUGAAAUGCGUAGAUAUCAGGAGGAAUACCGAUGGCGAAGGCAGGUCUCUGGGCUGACACUGACGCUCAUGCACGAAAGCGUGGGGAGCAAACAGGAUUAGAUACCCUUGUAGUC
rnacentral:rRNA from 1 species